ACAAGCGGAGGAGCAUGUGGUUUAAUUCGAUGAUACGCGAGGAACCUUACCUGGGCUCAAAUGUAUGUUGACGUAUUCUGAAAGGGAUACUUCUUCGGACAAUAUACAAGGUGCUGCAUGGUUGUCGUCAGCUCGUGCCGUGAGGUGUCGGGUUAAGUCCCAUAACGAGCGCAACCCCUAUCAUUAGUUGCCAUCAGGUCAAGCUGGGGACUCUAAUGAAACUGCCUACGCAAGUAGUGAGGAAGGCGGGGAUGACGUCAAAUCAGCACGGCCCUUACGUCCAGGGCUACACACGUGCUACAAUGGCCGAUACAGAGGGCAGCUACCUGGUGACAGGAUGCAAAUCUCCAAAGUCGGUCUCAGUUCGGAUCGGAGUCUGCAACCCGACUCCGUGAAGUUGGAUUCGCUAGUAAUCGCGCAUCAGCCAUGGCGCGGUGAAUACGUUCCCGGGCCUU
rnacentral:rRNA from 1 species